AAGACUAUACUUUCAGGGAUCAUUUCUAUAGUUUGUUACUAGAGAAGUUUCUCUGAAUGUGUAGAGCACCGAAUACCACGAGGAGGAGACGUAGUGUUCUCUCUUGAGCGUGAAGUUGACUUUUGGUGUUGCUUGGGUGCAAUCGCCAUUUGUCGUUGAUGAUCGUUCUUCUUUCCUCUUCGGAACGUGAGAGAGAGAGAACACUGUCUGAGUGGAU
rnacentral:snoRNA from 1 species